GACGAACGCUGGCGGCGUGCUUAACGCAUGCAAGCCGAACGGUAAGGCCCUUCGGGGUACACGAGUGGCGAACGGGUGAGUAACACGUGGGUGAUCUGCCCUGCACUUCGGGAUAAGCCUGGGAAACUGGGUCUAAUACCGGAUAGGACCACUGCCUGCAUGGGUGGUGGUGGAAAGCUUUUGCGGUGUGGGAUGGGCCCGCGGCCUAUCAGCUUGUUGGUGGGGUGAUGGCCUACCAGGGCGACGACGGGUAGCCGGCCUGAGAGGGUGACCGGCCACACUGGGACUGAGAUACGGCCCAGACUCCUACGGGAGGCAGCAGUGGGGAAUAUUGCACAAUGGGCGCAAGCCUGAUGCAGCGACGCCGCGUGAGGGAUGACGGCCUUCGGGUUGUAAACCUCUUUCAGCACCGACGAAGCGCAAGUGACGGUAGGUGCAGAAGAAGGACCGGCCAACUACGUGCCAGCCGCCGCGGUAA
rnacentral:rRNA from 1 species